AUUGAACGCUGGCGGCAGGCCUAACACAUGCAAGUCGAGCGGAUGAAGGGAGCUUGCUCCUGGAUUCAGCGGCGGACGGGUGAGUAAUGCCUAGGAAUCUGCCUGGUAGUGGGGGAUAACGUCCGGAAACGGGCGCUAAUACCGCAUACGUCCUGAGGGAGAAAGUGGGGGAUCUUCGGACCUCACGCUAUCAGAUGAGCCUAGGUCGGAUUAGCUAGUUGGUGGGGUAAAGGCCUACCAAGGCGACGAUCCGUAACUGGUCUGAGAGGAUGAUCAGUCACACUGGAACUGAGACACGGUCCAGACUCCUACGGGAGGCAGCGGUGGGGAAUAUUGGACAAUGGGCGAAAGCCUGAUCAGCCAUGCCGCGUGUGUGAAGAAGGUCUUCGGAUUGUAAAGCACUUUAAGUUGGGAGGAAGGGCAGUAAGUUAAUACCUUGCUGUUUUGACGUUACCAACAGAAUAAGCACCGGCUAACUUCGUG
rnacentral:rRNA from 1 species